UGAACGCUGGCGGCGUGCCUAAUACAUGCAAGUCGAGCGAACAGAUGAGAAGCUUGCUUCUCUGAUGUUAGCGGCGGACGGGUGAGUAACACGUGGGUAACCUACCUAUAAGACUGGGAUAACUCCGGGAAACCGGGGCUAAUACCGGAUAAUAUAUUGAACCGCAUGGUUCAAUGUUGAAAGACGGUUUCGGCUGUCACUUAUAGAUGGACCCGCGCCGUAUUAGCUAGUUGGUAAGGUAACGGCUUACCAAGGCAACGAUACGUAGCCGACCUGAGAGGGUGAUCGGCCACACUGGAACUGAGACACGGUCCAGACUCCUACGGGAGGCAGCAGUAGGGAAUCUUCCGCAAUGGGCGAAAGCUGACGGAGCAACGCCGCGUGAGUGAUGAAGGUCUUAGGAUCGUAAAACUCUGUUGUUAGGGAAGAACAAAUUUGUUAGUAACUGAACAAGUCUUGACGGUACCUAACCAGAAAGCCACGGCUAACUACGUGCCAGCAGCCGCGGUAAUACGUAGGUGGCAAGCGUUAUCCGGAAUUAUUUGGGCGUAAAGCACGCGUAGGCGGUUUCUUAAGUCUGAUGUGAAAGCCCACGGCUCAACCGUGGAGGGUCAUUGGAAACUGGGGAACUUGAGUGCAGAAGAGGAGAGUGGAAUUCCAUGUGUAGCGGUGAAAUGCGCAGAGAUAUGGAGGAACACCAGUGGCGAAGGCGGCUCUCUGGUC
rnacentral:rRNA from 1 species